CCUACGGGAGGCAGCAGUGGGGAAUCUUGCGCAAUGGGCGAAAGCCUGACGCAGCCAUGCCGCGUGAAUGAUGAAGGUCUUAGGAUUGUAAAAUUCUUUCACCGGGGACGAUAAUGACGGUACCCGGAGAAGAAGCCCCGGCUAACUUCGUGCCAGCAGCCGCGGUAAUACGAAGGGGGCUAGCGUUGCUCGGAAUUACUGGGCGUAAAGGGAGCGUAGGCGGAUAGUUUAGUCAGAGGUGAAAGCCCAGGGCUCAACCUUGGAAUUGCCUUUGAUACUGGCUAUCUUGAGUGUGGGAGAGGUAUGUGGAACUCCGAGUGUAGAGGUGAAAUUCGGUAGAUAUUCGGAAGAACACCAGUGGCGAAGGCGACAUACUGGCCCAUUACUGACGCUGAGGCUCGAAACGCGUGGGGAGCAAACAGGAUUAGAUACCCUGGUAGUCCACGCUGUAAACGAUGAGUGCUAGUUGUCGGCAGGCAUGCCUGUCGGUGACGCAGCUAACGCAUUAAGCACUCCGCCUGGGGAGUACGGUCGCAAGAUUAAACGUUAAGGAAUUGACGG
rnacentral:rRNA from 1 species